rnacentral:rRNA from 1 species
AACGAACGCUGGCGGCAGGCUUAACACAUGCAAGUCGAACGCGCCCUUCGGGGCGAGUGGCAGACGGGUGAGUAACGCGUGGGAACCUACCUUUUGGUACGGAAUAACUCAGGGAAACUUGAGCUAAUACCGUAUGUGCCCUUCGGGGGAAAGAUUUAUCGCCAAAGGAUGGGCCCGCGUCGGAUUAGCUAGUUGGUGGGGUAAUGGCCUACCAAGGCGACGAUCCGUAGCUGGUCUGAGAGGAUGAUCAGCCACACUGGGACUGAGACACGGCCCAGACUCCUACGGGAGGCAGCAGUGGGGAAUAUUGGACAAUGGGGGCAACCCUGAUCCAGCCAUGCCGCGUGAGUGAUGAAGGCCUUAGGGUUGUAAAGCUCUUUCGCCGGUGAAGAUAAUGACGGUAACCGGAGAAGAAGCCCCGGCUAACUUCGUGCCAGCCGCCGCGGUAAUAC